ACUGUUUACCAAACACGCAGGUCUUCGCAAAGUCGUAUGACAAUGUAUGUGACCUGACGCCUACCCUGUGCCAGAAGGUCAAGGAAGUUGGUGACCUGAUGACAGGGGAGCCGGCGAUCGAAGCCCCGGUGAACGGCGGUCAUAACUAUAACGGUACUAAGGUAGCAAAAUUCCUUGUCGGAUAAGUUCCGACCCGCACGAAAGGCGUUU
rfam:Nicotiana attenuata strain TT chromosome 9, whole genome shotgun sequence.